rnacentral:rRNA from 1 species
CACUCCAGCAUAAACAGUAUUGGAGGCACUGCCUGCCCAGUGACGCACACGCUUAAACGGCCGCGGUAUCCUGACCGUGCAAAGGUAGCAUAAUCACUUGUUCCCUAAAUAGGGACUAGUAUGAACGGCUUGACGAGGGUUCAACUGUCUCUUACUUUUAAUCAGUGAAAUUGACCUCCCCGUGAAGAGGCUGGACUGCACAAAUAAGACGAGAAGACCCUAUGGAGCUUAAAUUACAUAGUCUGCCCAUAAAAAUAUAAACCCACAGGCACAGCCCAAUGUUUACAGACUAUCAAUUUUGGUUGGGGUGACCUCGGAGCACAAAACAACCUCCGAAUGAUAUUAACCAAGACAUACAUGUCAAAGUUCAUACUCAUAAAUUGACCCAAACUAACUGACCAACGGAACAAGUUACCCUAGGGAUAACAGCGCAAUCCUACUCAAGAGUCCAUAUCGACAGUUAGGGUUUACGACCUCGAUGUUGGAUCAGGACAUCCAAAUGGUGUAGCCGCUAUUAAAGGUUCGUUUGUUCAACGAUUAAAUC